rnacentral:rRNA from 1 species
UACGAAGGGGGCUAGCGUUGUUCGGAAUUACUGGGCGUAAAGCGCGCGCAGGCGGUUCUCCAAGUCAGUGGUGAAAGCCCGGAGCUCAACUCCGGAACUGCCAUUGAAACUGUUGAACUUGAGGACGAGAGAGGUGAGUGGAAUUCCCAGUGUAGAGGUGAAAUUCGUAGAUAUUGGGAAGAAACACCAGUGGCGAAGGCGGCUCACUGGCUCGUAUCUGACGCUCAG